rnacentral:lncRNA from 1 species
UCUAUAUCCAGUAGAUAGAGUCUUGAUCAUUUUUUUUAUGAGGCAAGAUUCAUAAGUUUCAUAUGAUUCAUAAUCAUAAGGAUCAAAAAAAUUAUCUAUGUAUAACUUGUUAAUCUUUGACUCAUUUAUAUGGCCAAGUUGGCAGUGCCAGAGGUAUGUGACAUUCACAUCUUUUUUUUUUCUUCAUAUUAUCAACAUGAAGCAUAUUAUCAUUAAGUGAAAGAAAUAUAAGAC